GAUGAACGCUGGCGGCGGGCUUAACACAUGCAAGUCGAACGGAAAGGCCCAAGCUUACUUGGGUACUCGAGUGGCGAACGGGUGAGUAACACGUGGGUGAUCAGUCCUGCACUUCGUGAUAAGCCUGGGAAACUGGGUGUAAUACCGGAUAGGACUACAUCUUGGUUGUUGUUGUGGAAAGCUUUUUCGUUGUGGGAUAAGCUUGCGGCCUAUCAGCUUGUUGGUGUGGUAAUGGCCGACCAAGGCGUCGGCAGGUAGCCGGCCAGCGUGGGUGUACAGCAUCAGUGGAAGUGAGAGACGACCCAGACACCGACGGGAGGCAGCUGUGGGGAAGAUGGCACAACGGGCGCACGCCUGCUCCAGUUGCGCCGCGUGGGGGAUGACGGCCUUCGGGUUGUAAGCGCCUUUCGCGAGGGACGAAGCGUUUUGUGACGGUACCUGGAGAAGAAGCCCCGGCUAACUACGUG
rnacentral:rRNA from 1 species